rnacentral:rRNA from 1 species
AUUGAACGCUGGCGGCAGGCCUAACACAUGCAAGUCGAACGAGUGGCGGACGGGUGAGUACUGUCUGGGAAACUGCCCGAUGGAGGGGGCUAACUACUGGAAACGGUAGCUAAUCCCGCAUACCCUCGGAUGUGCCCAGAUGGGAUUAGCUAGUGGGUGUGGUAACGGCUCACCUGGGCGACGACCCCUAGCUGGUCUGCGAGCAUGACCAGGCACACUGGAACUGAGACACGAACCAGAAUCCUGCGGGAGGCAUGAGUGGGGAAUAUUUCACAAUGGGCGCAAGCCGGAUGCAGCCAUGCCGCGUGUAUGAGGAAGGCUUUCGGGUUGUAAAGUACUAUCAGCGGGGAGGCGUUACUCGCAGAAGAAGCACCGGCGAACUCCGUGCCAGCAGCCGCGGUAAUAC